UGGGGAAUAUUGGGCGAUGGGCGCAAGCCUGACCCAGCAACGCCGCGUGAGGGAAGAAGGCUUUCGGGUUGUAAACCUCUGUCCUUGGUGACGAAACAAAUGACGGUAGCCAAGGAGGAAGCCCCGGCUAACUGCGUGCCAGCAGCCGCGGUAAUACGUAGGGGGCGAGCGUUGUCCGGAAUUACUGGGCGUAAAGGGUGCGUAGGUGGCCUUUUAAGUUGGAUGUGAAAUACCCGGGCUUAACCUGGGGGGUGCAUCUAAUACUGGGAGGCUAGAGUGCAGGAGAGGAAAGCGGAAUUCCUAGUGUAGCGGUGAAAUACGUAGAUAUUAGGAGGAACACCAGUGGCGAAGGCGGCUUUCUGGACUGUAACUGACACUGAGGCACGAAAGCGUGGGGAGCAAACAG
rnacentral:rRNA from 1 species